CCAAAAACAAGAAGAUCAGCAACAGCAGCCAGUAAUCUCUGUGACCCAAAAAUGAGUGAAUGUCCAACUACCUAAGUAGGGGAAGGACACGUACUGUUCUGUUCUCAUCAAACACAGCGUGAAGAACAUCUAUAUUUGGGAGGACAGCAGGACUUAUAAAGAGGAGGGGGAAGAGUCCAAGUCUUUAAACUGGGGGGUUCUGGUCUCAACUCUGCUACCUCCUCCCUGGGGGCAUCUAGUCCACAUAUCCCCUCUUAGAGCCCCAACUUUCUAAUGUGUUAAGGGAGAUAAAAACCUUUGCCCUGCUGGGCACUGAUCUGACAUCUAUAGAAGCACCCUGUGUGCCCCAAAGUACCACACAGAUAUUAGCUGGAAACAGUUCAACCCUCCAGGCCUUCAAAGGUGCACUAUUCACAUUUGGCAUUUUAUAUCACACUGCACUUAAGUUCAGAACAAAGGUGGGGAGCGCCAACCCUUUACCACAUGACUAAGCUAAACAUUUCUAAUCUUUUCCUCUCUAAAACCUUAAGCCUCUACUGUAAUCUGUCUGUUCACCAGCCACACUGGUCCCUAAUUAUACAGGGAGGGGAUUGAGAAAGUGCACACUGAGAACUCAGACCAGCUCAGAGAAGAUUUGGGCCUGGCUGGGGGAGGGGAGGGAAGGAUUUAGCUUAGGCAUCAGGUUAUAAGAGUCACACAGGCCAGUUGGUAGGGCCUUGGGCUUGGGAGUUAUGACACUAAAGUCCUCUUUAUUCAUCUGUUCAUAAAGGAUUUGGGGCCUGGACAAUCUACACAAUGAAGAUAGGCUAUGAGCUGCAGUUAUACAGAGCUCUCUCUUUUAAGAGACCUUCAAGAUUCCUGGGCUAGUAGGAGCCCUGGAGAACCUAUAGUUUCUAUAACUUUAAGUGACAACAUUCUACCCAAAUGACACUCAUAAUAGCUAAGACAUACGAAACACACAAAUCCACAUAUCCCCACCCCCUUCUCAUAUGCCGAUGCUGCUUGAACAUUCAUUAUUACAUUAGCUCUUAACUGCUAUAAAGAACCAGCCAUUAAUGUACUUGAGGAAACACCUUCCUAAACCUUCAUGGGGAGUUGGAGCAAAUGGUCAGGUAGUGUGAUAAGUGAACACAUUUAAGAGACAGAGUUUCUGGGUAAUAAUCGAUUAGGUUAGCUAAUAAUCAAAAAAUUGGUGGUCAGCGGUUUCUCUCGCUCACCUCUAAUAGAGGAUACCUUAAAGACUUUUCUGAAAGGGAAUUCCCAACAGGAGAAAUCAAUCCUGAUUGGUAGACGUUUGAAUGAGGUGGUGGUGGGCCAAAAGGAUUCGGCUUCUGCUGAAAACUUGACUUAGUGCUUCCAGGCCUCUGGCCAAGGGCAUCCAUCUCUCCUUCAGGAGCUCAGUCAUCUUAAACCCCAUUUGAGGGGGAGAGAGAGAGGCAUGUGCAAGGACACGGGCUUAUUCUCAGAGAAUUUAUCUAGAUUAGAUUCUGUUUAUACUUCAAAGUAGCAUCCUCAAAGGAGAAAGAAGGUCUCCUAGUUGGGUGGGAUCCUACCCAAGAUUGAGGACCAUGUCCCAAGGUUUAGGGCAAUCUCCUCUACCUGUCAUGCUCUUCGGAGACUUGACUGACUGACCUAUAAAGGCUGGUCUCUGAAUAAGGAAAUAAAAAGCCUGGAUCCUAAUUAAUAUAAUAAAAAACAAUCAUUUCUCUCAGUAGAGAAGGGAGUUGAAAGUCUUCAGGGAAACUAAAGAAAGCCCAGGGGAUGGGGAGGGGGGGGGGUGCAUCCCUGCUUUUCAUUACCAGCAUCCUUUAAUAAGCCACAUCAGGUGAGGGCUCCACACAGGCAGCUCGGUACAGCAGCAAAGGACCGGGCUGGCAGCCGACGGGGGAGCCUCGCCCAGCUCGGGCACGAAGCAGCUGUUUCUCUGGGCAAGUUCUCCCCCACCCUCCAGUCUUGGUUUCUCAUCUCUAACAUGCAGGCCCUGAGCAGUAUGAGUACAAGGGUCACUUCCACCUUGGAGAAGCCGUGGCUCAAGUUAGUUGCCCUAAAGCAAUGCAGCCUUUCGCUCCUUCUAUCACCAGCACUCUCAGGCAGCUUCAUUUUAAACACAGGGCUAGCUUUUCUUGGGACAGUCUGGGAGCCUGAUGAUUGUGGACAGCAAACAAGAAAAAAGCUUCGAGAUAGAAGCACUGCAGAUGGCAGGACCCGCCAGGCGUGGGACAGGAAGGCAGGAGGCGUCUCCUGGUCCUUGAUGCCUGCAGACAAGCCCUCGAUUUCCUCCCAAAGGAGCAUCAGCAAGGACAAGGCCCCGGGGUGCAUCCUGUGAUUCCCAAAGAAAUGUGGCCACGGCUAUCUGCGUUUCCAGCAACGAUCCUGUCCUUCCAGCCCCUAGCAGGACCCUCAAUAAAUAAAUUAGUAAUAAACUGAACUGUUUUCCACUAAAAUAUGCUCCUUAUUUUUUGAAAUGGCCUGUCAACAUCCACAAGUGUCAUCCACAAGCUAAUUACAACUUGUAAAAGAUCAUCAUGAAUAAAAACACAGUCUAAAAGGGUUGGGAGGAGACUGGGAAGGUAGGUGGAUGGAGGUGGACCUAAGGAACCAAAAUCACUGACCUACUCAGAAGAAAGUGACAAAUGUUGUUUCCCUUGUUUGGGCCACGGAGCUCAUUUGUUUUAAAAGUUUCCUUGUUCACACACACACACACACAGAGCUGUCCUUCAUGUCCUAAUCUCCAUUUCCACCCAACAGAGUGCUCUCUUAUAAUGCACACAGGGAGUGCGGCAAACACACGGACCAUCUGGUGCACCCGCCUCCUGCGCCCACAGCCCACCGCUAGGCUCUCACACUGGAAAAUGCCCGGGGCGGGAUCUCCUGAGAAGCUCUGAAAAGUUCCUGUAUUUCUCUAUGGAUUUUCUCAUGGGGCUCAAAGUCAUUCACAGUGGGUCUCUCAAAGAUCCUUGUAAGGCUGGUAAAGGUGCCCCUUUAUAGGUGGGGAGGACCUUGCCCAAGGUCAGAGAAGACCCUUCCUCCCAGUGCUCUGCUGCGGUCUCCUCAUCCUCCCGGGAUGCUCUAUAACAGGAGCCCCAAGCCACCCCUCCUCCACCCCAGGAAGCCCCAAAGCUCUCCGGCCGCCAGGGCGUUUCUGCUCCCUUGGUUUCCAAGGUGAGGCAGGGGACAGAGGCUCGGACCCUGUCCUCAGAGGGCGGCCCGGGGCGCCGGUCUCUGCUGC